rnacentral:rRNA from 1 species
AUUGAACGCUGGCGGCAGGCCUAACACAUGCAAGUCGAACGGUAACAGGAAGAAGCUUGCUUCUUUGCUGACGAGUGGCGGACGGGUGAGUAAUGUCUGGGAAACUGCCUGAUGGAGGGGGAUAACUACUGGAAACGGUAGCUAAUACCGCAUAAUGUCGCAAGACCAAAGAUGGGGACCUUCGGGCCUCUUGCCAUCGGAUGUGCCCAGAUGGGAUUAGCUAGUAGGUGGGGUAACGGCUCACCUAGGCGACGAUCCCUAGCUGGUCUGAGAGGAUGACCAGCCACACUGGAACUGAGACACGGUCCAGACUCCUACGGGAGGCAGCAGUGGGGAAUAUUGCACAAUGGGCGCAAGCCUGAUGCAGCUAUGCCGCGUGUAUGAAGAAGGCCUUCGGGUUGUAAAGUACUUUCAGCGGGGAGGAAGGGAGUAAAGUUAAUACCUUUGCUCAUUGACGUUACCCGCAGAAGAAGCACCGGCUAACUCCGUG